rnacentral:rRNA from 1 species
CAGCCGCCACGGGAAUACGUAGGUGGCAAGCGUUGUCCGGAAUUAUUGGGCGUAAAGGGCUCGCAGGCGGUUUCUUAAGUCUGAUGUGAAAGCCCCCGGCUCAACCGGGGAGGGUCAUUGGAAACUGGGAAACUUGAGUGCAGAAGAGGAGAGUGGAAUUCCACGUGUAGCGGUGAAAUGCGUAGAGAUGUGGAGGAACACCAGUGGCGAAGGCGACUCUCUGGUCUGUAACUGACGCUGAGGAGCGAAAGCGUGGGGAGCGAACAGGAUUAGAUACCCCCGUAGUCCCUGUCUCUUAUAA